AGCGAACGCUGGCGGCAGGCCUAAUACAUGCAAGUCGAACGGGGAAAGCUUUCGGGUGAGUACUAGUGGCGCACGGGUGAGGAACGCGUGGAUAAUCUGCCUUAGAGUGGGGGAUAACUAGUCGAAAGAUUAGCUAAUACCGCAUAAGACCACAGGAGCUGCGGCUCAAGGGGUCAAAGGUUUUUCGCUCUAAGAUGAGUCCGCGUAAGAUUAGCUAGUUUGUGAGGUAACGGCUCACCAAGGCGACGAUCUUUAACUGGUCUGAGAGGAUGAUCAGUCACACUGGAACUGAGACACGGUCCAGACUCCUACGGGAGGCAGCAGUAGGGAAUAUUGCACAAUGGAGGAAACUCUGAUGCAGCGACGCCGCGUGAGUGAUGAAGGCCUUCGGGUCGUAAAGCUCUGUCGCAGGGGAAUAACACAAUGAAUGUACCCUGUAAGAAAGGAUCGGCUAACUUCGUGCCAGCCGCCGCAGUAAAAC
rnacentral:rRNA from 1 species